UUGCCGGGACGACCCGGCAGGUUCAUCCGAAACCGGUGGGGACGGCCCUG
rnacentral:ncRNA from 1 species